CAGGUUCCAAAGAGGGUAAUCAAAGAAGAGUAACCAGCUCAAAUGGGUUUGCAAAGGGUUGAUAGUGUUUGGGUAGCGAGAAUGAAAGCCUUCGUCAUCUCAACCGAAAAAGAUUUUAUUAUAUAAAGGAUCCAACAUAGUACCUUUUGACAGCAUUUGCAUUGACAGUUAUUUCAAGGACGUUUCCUUCGAUGUGUCCCAAGUACAACAUACUCUUUUUGGCAGUACUCUUGUUGUAAUGUAUGGACCUUUCCAAUUUCGGGAACCAAUUUUCCUUCAGUUGUUCCAACUCUUUGUCUUGUUUCCUUAAGCUAUUCUUCAUUGCGACCCAAUUCUUGAUUCAUUAUUUCGAGGUCUGACAGAGUUUUAAGAUCCGGGCAUGAAGUCCGCAAGCAUGUCAUAUUAUUGAAAUCUGCAUUUAACAGAACUAAAAGAGAAUGAGAAAAUUGACAAGAUUUAAGAAAAGAGACAUUCCGGGAAAUAUCAACUUCAUUUGAUUUUUUUGAUUUUUUCUUUUUCUUUUUUUUUUAAUUUUUGAAGGUAGAAGGGUUUACAUCGAAAAGUAAGACAAUAAAGUAAAACAUCUGGAUCACACCCUGAGAUAAUCCAGAUGCAGAAAGGAUAGCAAGACUGGCUACCGAGACUCCCGU
rnacentral:lncRNA from 1 species